GAUCUCUUGGUUCUGGCAUCGAUGAAGAACGCAGCGAAAUGCGAUAAGUAAUGUGAAUUGCAGAAUUCAGUGAAUCAUCGAAUCUUUGAACGCACAUUGCGCCCAUUAGUACUCUAGUGGGCAUGCCUGUUCGAGCGUCAUUACGACCCUUAAGCCUAGCUUAGUAUUGGGAACCUACGUGCGGCAGCUACCCUGUAGCUACCCUGUAGCUCCUUAAAGACAACGGCGGAGACGUGGAGUCCUCUGAGCUUAGUAACUUUUCUAGCUUCUGAAGGCGCCGCGGCCCCUGCCGUAAAACCCCCCAACUCUUUAGUGGUUGACCUCGGAUCAGGUAGGAAUACCCGCUGAACUUAAGCAUAUCAAUAAGCGGAGGAAAAGAAACCAACAGGGAUUGCCUUAGUAACGGCGAGUGAAGCGGCAACAGCUCAAAUUUGAAAGCUGGCCUUCGGGUCCGCGUUGUAAUUUGUAGAGGAUGCUUUUGGUUAGGUGCCUUACGAGUUCCCUGGAACGGGACGCCUUAGAGGGUGAGAGCCCCGUACGUUUGGUUACCGAGCCUCUGUAAAGCUCCUUCGACGAGUCGAGUAGUUUGGGAAUGCUGCUCUAAAUGGGAGGUAAAUUUCUUCUAAAGCUAAAUACCGGCCAGAGACCGAUAGCGCACAAGUAGAGUGAUCGAAAGAUGAAAAGCACUUUGAAAAGAGGGUUAAAUAGCACGUGAAAUUGUUGAAAGGGAAGCGUUUAUGACCAGACUUUUUCCUGGCGGAUCAUCCGGUGU
rnacentral:rRNA from 1 species